UGUACAGCCGUGCAAAUGGCCCUGUGUGAAAGGGAUCUCUUGCAAAGAGCAUUCAACGUGACAUAGGAUGUGCUGCUUAUUCUCUGUAAAAAUCAAACCUUUAAUGUAGUAGGGAGACGUUCUCCAUAAUUUUUCAUAUUUCUGAUCUUGCAGACUACUAUCUGUAGUUCCAAACUACCUUUCCAUGCAUAUUUGUACAGUGAAGUGUUUUAGAAGAUAUAGAUAGGGCUUUCCUCUUAAAGGAAAAGCAGGUUGGAUUCUUAUUUUAAAAGAUUUGGGUGCUCUAAAUUCCUAUUUUCCCUUUUAUUCACACCUCACUAUUCUGAAAGUACAGUCCAAUCCUCUAUGUCUCCCUACAGGAAAGGAAGCUUAGAGAACUUGCAAAACAGUGCCAGUUUUUGACUCACAGGCCGCCAUUCAACUCAGACCACAACUCCAGUGUUUUCCGUCAGCAUCCACUACCGUGUGAAAGGCUUGCUCACUUGCAAAUAGAGAGACAAAUGGUAAUUGAUCAUAGCUACAUCUUGGAAACAACCCAGAUGCCCCUCAACUGAGGAAUGGAUAAAAAAGAUGUCGUGUUUCUACAUAAUGGAGUACUACUCAGCUAUAAAGAAAGAUAAACUUGAGAUUUUAUAGGUAAAUGGAUGCGUCUGGAGAUCACACUUAUAAGUGAAAUAAAUCAGACUCACGUGUGUAAACAUCAUAUUGUCUUCCUAGUGUGAGAACCUGAAAGAGUAAAUAAAAUCUAAAAGGUACAAUAGAUACUGUGAAAGGGAAAGAAACUGCUCAAAAGGAAAGAAUGACUGGGAUUAGGGAAAAGAGAAAAGAAAAAAAGUUGGGAAAAAUAUGAAAUAUAUAUAUACAUACACACACACAAGAUAGC
rnacentral:lncRNA from 1 species